rnacentral:lncRNA from 1 species
CGAGGAUGAGUGAGCAAUGGGUCGUAGCCUGGAUCGAGCAAAAAGAAGCUAGUAGAGGUAUCUAUUGAAAAGUUCGCGAUAUUUGAUCUUAACAUCCGGAUAUGAAGAAAGAGAUCGAUGCCUUCGCUUGGAGUAUGAAGGUAAGGCCGUAAAUAUCCAUUUUAUGUAAAAAGAUUUGUUUUCUAGUAAAAUUGUUCUAAUAGAAUUGAAUUAGAAUCAACGCCUCUUUUUGCAUUCAUUCCAUUCAUCUGCAUCACAUUUCAUUGCAUACAUGAAAUUUCACAAAAGAACACUAAUUAAUUGAAAUUGUUAC